rnacentral:rRNA from 1 species
AUUGAACGCUGGCGGCAGGCCUAACACAUGCAAGUCGAACGAGUGGCGGACGGGUGAGUAAUGUCUGGGAAACUGCCCGAUGGAGGGGGAUAACUACUGGAAACAGUAGCUAAUACCGCAUACCAUCGGAUGUGCCCAGAUGGGAUUAGCUAGUAGGUGGGGUAACGGGUCACCUAGGCGACGAUCCCUAGCUGGUCUGAGAGGAUGACCGGCAACACGGGAAAGGAGACACGGUCCAGACUCCUACGGGAGGCAGCAGUGGGGAGUAUUGCACAAUGGGGGCAAGCCUGAUGCAGCCAUGCCGCGUGUGUGAAGAAGGCCUUCGGGUUGUAAAGUACUUUCAGCGAGGAGGCGUUAAUCGCAGAGAAAGCACCGGCUAACUCCGUGCCAGCAGCCGCGGUAAUAC